GAUGAAGAACGUAGCGAAACGCGAUAGUUAAUGUGAAUUGCAGAAUUCAGUGAAUCAUCGAGUCUUUGAACGCACAUUGCGCCUUUUGGUAUUCCGAGAGGCACGCCUGUCUGAGCGUCAGUAAAACCCUUCGGUUUGACGAUUUAUUGUCUCGCCGGCGUUGGCGGUUUUUGGGUCCUUGUGGCUCGAUUCCGUUUAAACACUGACACGCGGAGAUUAAGGUGUUAAAGGAUUAACCCCUCAUCGAUUAGUAGAAAUAUUUAUCUUUGAAGAUUAUGACUUUAAAACCCCACCCGCUAUACAAAAAUAGGGAGCUUCUUUUUUGGAGCACCCGACCUUGAAUUUUGACCUCAGAUCAGACGAGGAUACCCGCUGAACUUAAGCAUAUCAAUAAGCGGAGGA
rnacentral:misc_RNA from 1 species